GACGAACGCUGGCGGCGUGCCUAAUACAUGCAAGUAGAACGCACAGUUUAUACCGUAGCUUGCUACACCAUAAACUGUGGGUUGCGAACGGGUGAGUAACGCGUAGGUAACCUGCCUGGUAGCGGGGGAUAACUAUUGGAAACGAUAGCUAAUACCGCAUAAUAUUAAUUAUUGCAUGAUAAUUGAUUGAAAGAUGCAAUUGCAUCACUACCAGAUGGACCUGCGUUGUAUUAGCUAGUAGGUGAGGUAACGGCUCACCUAGGCGACGAUACAUAGCCGACCUGCGAGGGUGAUCGGCCACCCUGGGACUGCGACACGGCCCAGACUCCUACGGGAGGCAGCAGUAGGGAAUCUUCGGCAAUGGACGAAAGUCUGACCGAGCAACGCCGCGUGAGUGAAGAAGGUUUUCGGAUCGUAAAGCUCUGUUGUAAGAGAAGAACGGGUGUGAGAGUGGAAAGUUCACACUGUGACGGUACCUUACCAGAAAGGGACGGCUAACUACGUG
rnacentral:rRNA from 1 species